GGUUGUUGUUUCCCAUGUCGUCGUCGUCCGGUCCAGCUGAAUCUCGGAGUGGCCACGCGAAUCACAAGGAGAGGAGGGGGACGGCCUAGCCACGACCACUAGUCCAAUCUCGAGAUCCAGCGAGGCGAUGUUGAUGCGCAGCAGAAGGUAGUAACACGGAAGCUUGCAAAGUACGGAAGAUGAUAGCCAUUGCGGACGGUUCGGACGGGACUGAUUGAUGAGUUGCAGUACCUGACCACACCUGACCGACCGAUGUGAGAUAGUUUCGGCGAACCAACGAUGCAGCGAGCAUCAAGCGCCGAUGCUCCUGGCAGUCCCCUUUCAGCGGCAGGCCCCAAUCCAUGGAGGGCUUCACCGUCGACCCAACCUCGACUCCUCACCGGUCCAGGAUGAUGGCCAGGUAAGUCUGAUCUCCAGCUCCAGGGGGAUGCCCCAUACCUUGUUGUGUUGUGCUCCUCACGGUAAAAGCCAUCAUCAACACUUAAAUGAAGAGAUACUGAAGAAAUGUCCACUCGUGAGUAUGUUGGGUUUAGUCUUGUGUAAAGAAUUAAUAAAACUAAUUUCUCUAUCUAAUUAUUGCUAUCAUAUCAUGCCAAUGCUAAUAGUUUCUUUGUCACAAAGCACGAACAGAUGCCCUGAAACUGAUUCAUCAUUUUUCUAUUAUAAUUAUUGAUGAAUAGAUGGUCAAUAAAAUUAAGUAGUAAUGGAAGCUAUGAUCCUGGCCCAUACUUAUCGUGUUAAUCAAGUUAUCUUGCUACAUAGGCAAUUCCAUGUAGUUCUGUUAACCAAAUGCCACAUCAACUCAUGUGGUUAAUCCUUCCUAUCACAAGGUAUUUGCUGCCGAUGUUGUUGUUCGGACCAGCUUUAGCUGGUAGUGGAUGACUCACAAUGUGAGGAAGGGGACGGUCCGGCCACGACCAGUAGACCAAUCUCGAGCUCCAGCGUGACGUUGACGAUGCCCAGCAAAAGGAACGCGCAAGCUUGCAAAGCACGGAAGAUGAUGGCCAUUGCAUAUGGUCAGGACAGGAUUUUGCAUAUGUUGCUGCUGAUCGAUGCGGUGCAAUACGUUACCACACCUGACCGACCUUAACGAGAUAGUUUCGGCGAACCAACGAUGCAGCGAUUAAGCGCAAAGUAUCUUUUUUUUUUCUCUCUUGAUUUUCCUCGUGUGCUGCUCCAGGCUAGGAUAUGUACAACACUGAGUGAGGCAUGCAUCUUGGAUAGGAUUUAAGAGCGAGGCAUGCAUGAAUGAAAGCAACUCGAUUCUGUUUUCCUUCGAAA